UGUGUGACUAUCAGUUCCUGCGCUCUCUAGUCCUGGGGACCAGAUCCAUUUAAGGGAUGAAAGCAUCACCAUAAAUGGAAUUGUCCCAUCUCCUGCACUUGGAGAUGGUGCCAAGAGCAGACUUUCAGCUGAAAGAGCCAUCCUUCUCCAGUCUCCCUGUGGAGUUUCUCUUCUCUGUCUUUGUGAUCAUUACCACACUUUUGGGAAAGGCUACGCCUGCGAGUGCAUGGGGAAAGUCUUCAGUCACAGUGGGCUGAGCAUGAGGCAUCAAGGGGGUUUCAGAGAAAAAUGGCCAAGCUGGAUAUUGGGUUCGCCUGUUCUCUUCCUUGGAAUUACCACUUCAAAUUUAGAGCUAUAAAGGGGUCAUUGCAAAAAAUGAUACAACUACAACCCAGGAAAGCAUGUGGAUGGCAUCCAUCUCCAGCAGUCUAGGUCUGUGCAAAAUCUGCUGCUUUUCUUUGAGGCACCAUGACAGCAGCCUCAUUUUUGCCAGCACCCUGCAGCACCCUCUGAGCGUGUCUGAAAUCAGAUCUGUUUUCUUCUGAAAACCUAACGGAGUGCUUGAGAAACACGGCCAUGAAUUGUUUGGGGAAAUGGUGCCAGCCAGCCUGAUUUGCUUUUGACACGAUUCCAAAACACCAGUUGACUGGAAACUAAGUGCAACCCCAGCAGAAGGAUUAAUCCAACUAUUUUCUUAAGAAAACAUAAUUACUAUGAAUCUUUCCAAGCUUGCACAGAGCCAGCAGUAAGUCUUUUUCCUGAUCUGCCGGCUGUGGCUGCAGAUCUGGCAGCAGUGCUGUGAAAUCGAUCGUUCCCCUUUGGCAGGGCCAGUGGGUGGCAUCUGCAGAGACAGUGUUGCUGCUGAGCCUUUUCUUUUGCUGCCUGCACUGGGAUAUUGCAGCAUCUGCCAUGGCUGCUGGCUGCAGAGGUAUAUGAAGGAGGUGGUUUUCAUGUAAAAUAUGUCACCUUUUUGCUACUUUGCUCUCAGCACAGAUGUGCAUGGUAUACCCUGGGAGGAUGGCAACACCAUGGUGUGCUCAGCCCUGGUGCCCUGUGAUGGGAGGGAUGGCUGUGCAGCAAGGACUGCUUUUCUUCUUUCAAAGGAUAUUUUUAACAGGAAAACAUCAGUUAAACAAAAAACUGCAGGUUUGAUUGCUUCCUGCUGCCAGCUUUUCCUUUAGGACCUCCCAUUCCUUGUGAUAAGCUCUCCAAGCAAGGAUUUACUAACUAUUUUCAGAAGACUGACAUGAAGGUACCAUGCAGACACUCAUUAUGACAUGAAUUUUAAUCUUGUUCCAGUACUUUCAUUUUGAAAAGAGCUGGAAAAAAAAAUCCCUUAAAAAAAAAAAAGCAAAUUGAUUUUGGAUUAAUUUGAAACUUUUCUGCAGGUAGCUGGUUCUGAUGGCGCAUUGUUUCUAUCAAGGAAGGUUCAGUUUGGGGAAAUCUCACCUAGGGGAAAUCUCUUCUCAGAGCAGUGAGGCAUUGGCACAGGCUAUCCAGGGAGGGGUGGAACCACCGACCCCAGGGGUUUUCCAGAGCUGUGGGGAUGUGGCACUGA